AUGGAAAUGGUGCAAUAGCCACCGGCACCACAGAUUUUUGGUGCUCCCUUGGCACUACGUCAUCUACACGCAGCCCUAGAGGAGCACCGUGAUGCCGCCCGCCAUGUGGUGCAAUUCUACUUAGAAGAUUCUAAUUAGAUUCUACUGGAGAGUCUACAUAGAAGAAAAAGGUGUGAAGUGUGGGGGUUGAUCUGAGAUCCAGGCUGUCUGUCUUUUCACAAAAGGAAAACGUUUCUCAUCAUAAAGACACCUUACCUCUCCAUCAGUC